GCCCAGUUAGCUUGGUUGGUAGCGCGUCUGCCUUGUAAGCGCUAGGCCGCGGGUUCGAUUCCCGCCCGGGGUG
rfam:Asian citrus Psyllid, Diaphorina citri - Florida Strain, whole genome shotgun sequence.